UACAGAGGUCUCAAGCGUUGUUCGGAUUCAUUGGGCGUAAAGGGUGCGUAGGUGGCGCCAUAAGUCAGGUGUGAAAUCUCGGGGCUCAACCCCGAAACUGCACUUGAUACUGUGGUGCUGGAGUACUGGAGAGGAGAUUGGAAUUUACGGUGUAGCAGUGAAAUGCGUAGAUAUCGUAAGGAAGACCAGUGGCGAAGGCGAAUCUCUGGACAGUUACUGACACUGAGGCACGAAAGCCAGGGGAGCAAACGGG
rnacentral:rRNA from 1 species